rnacentral:rRNA from 1 species
GGACUAGGGUAAUGAUUAUNGGAUAGUUGGGGGCAUNAAUAUUUAAUUCGUCAGAGUGAAAUUCUUGGAUUUAUGAAAGAUUAACUUCUGCGAAAGCAUCUGCCAAGGAUGUUUUCAUUAAUCAAGAACGAAAGUUAGGGGAUCGAAGACGAUCAGAUACCGUCGUAGUCUUAACCAUAAACGAUGCCGACCAGCGAUUAGGAGACGUUGAAUACAAAACACCACCAUCGGCGCGGUCGUCCUUGGCGUCGGUCUUUCGGGGCCGGCGCGGGGGCGGCUUAGCCCGGUGGCACCGGUGAAUGACUCCCCUGNCUU